rnacentral:rRNA from 1 species
UACAGAGGGGGCAAGCGUUGUUCGGAAUUACUGGGCGUAAAGGGCGCGUAGGCGGCCUUCUAAGUCGAACGUGAAAUCCCCGAGCUCAACUCGGGAACUGCGUCCGAUACUGGCAGGCUUGAAUCCGGGAGAGGGAUGCGGAAUUCCAGGUGUAGCGGUGAAAUGCGUAGAUAUCUGGAGGAACACCGGUGGCGAAGGCGGCAUCCUGGACCGGCAUUGACGCUGAGGCGCGAAAGCCAGGGGAGCAAACGGG